ensembl:lncRNA
AAUACACAAGGGGCUAAGACAGGAACACAAACAGGUAAACAUAAACACAUAGCAGGAGAAGACAGAAGACAAGACACGGCACAGACAUAGCAAAAUACAAAGGGGAUCUACAAGGUCAGGGAAGGACAGGAAGAGACAUGGAAAACACAGGAAGUUCAAGCCCAGGAGAUACCACUGAAAAACCAAACUAAAAGUCCAACAGGUGAGGUGAAACACAAAACCCAGAACCUUGACAGCCCUUCCAUUCCUUGAUCUGAGGAAUAGGAGAAGAUCCGUCUAGCUGCAGGAUUCACGACUUGAGAAUGAGCAGAUUAAUCAUCAGCCCCUUCCGUUCAGAGUAGCCUUAGAGACGGGCACGUUUCUAGAAAGACCUGUUCCAAGCAUUCCGCAUAAAUGACUCGAGUGAGCUCCCCUAAUAGGAACUUGCGAAAUACAGCCUCGUAGCCGCCUGCUACACACAUGCAGUAACAGUACCAGUUUAGAGCGGAUUUGCUGCAAAUUGCUGAACAGUUUAAUCACAGUUUGUGAUACAGGACGGCGUGCAAAUGAUCUUCCUGGGAAAUCUCAUCCAGUUCAUCAGUGCAACUUAUUUUGUCAUUGGAAACCACAUGAUAUCGGAACCCGGGACAUUGCUCAGGUGCUGUGGACAGGAGGCCUAUAAUGUGGACCGGCAGUUGUGCUGUGGACGUCUGCGCAGUGAGAAGAUCCUUAAGAAGGAACACAAGGACAGCGUUUGCUGUGGAGACGUCCAGUACAACCCACAGACACAGCGCUGCUGCGGAGAUCCUCCUGAAAUAAAUGAACUCUCAGUUUCCUGUGAGACGGACUGUAAACAGGUUUUGACCCAAGAGCCCACAGGAAACAACAUGAUCCCGGAACCCCGGACAUUGUACAAGUGCUGUGGACAGGAGACCUAUAAUGAGGACCGGCAGUUGUGCUGUGGACGUCUGGGCAGUGAGAAGAUCCUUAUGAAGGAACACAAGGACAGCAUUUGCUGUGGAGACGUCCAGUACAACCCACAGACACAGCGCUGCUGCGGAGAUCCUCCUGAAAUAAAUGACCUCUCAAUUUCCUGUGAGACGGACUGUAAACAGGUUUUGACCCAAGAGCCUACAGCAAACAACAGGAUGUCGGGACCCCGGACAUUGUCCAAGUGCUGUGGACAGGAGGCCUAUAAUGUGUACCGGCAGUUGUGCUGUGGAAGUCUGAGCAGUCAGAAGAUCCUUAUGAAGGAACACAAGGACAGCGUCUGCUGUGGAGACGUCCAGUACAACCCACAGAAACAGUGCUGUUGCGGGGAUCCUCCUAAAAUAAAUGAACUCUCAGUUUCCUAUGAGACCCAAGGGCCCACAGCAAACCACAUGGUGUCGGAACCCGGAACAUUGUCUAAGUACUGUGGACAGGAGGCCUAUAAUGAGGACCGGCAGUUGUGCUGUGGAAGUCUGCACAAUGCGAAGAUCCUUAUGAAGGAACAGAAGGAAAGCCUUUGCUGUGGAGACGUCCAGUACAACCCAGAGACACAGGGCUGCUGUGGAGAUCCUCCUGAAAUAAAAGACCUCUUAGAUUAACUGUGAGACGGACUGAAAACAGGGUUCGACCCGUCUCCUUCAACCCACUGCUCUUUUGAACAUAGCACCUUUUCAAUCAAGGAAAAAAAUAUUUGCUUUGACUAGCACUAUCUAACUGUUUGUAAUUGUGUCAAACUUGAAGAUCCUUUAUUUCCUUGAAAAAGAUUGCUUAUUUUGUCUUAUCUAAGUUGUUAAUUUUCUCUGCAAACGGGAAAUAUUUUUGAAUGUAGAACAGUGCAAAUGUAGAAGCGAAUAUGCCCAAAUAUACCUGCCCCUUUACAUUUGUCCAUGUUAUGAUUAUUACUUUUAUCCUGCAAGUUUAGCUCAGGAACAAUACUAUACAAUGGUGUAUUCCCUUUUUGCUAGUUAAAGCACAAUGAAAUGGUUAAUUCUAGGGAUGGGCGUGAGGAAUCGAUUACACGAGUACUCGUUACUCGGGACAAGCAAACUCGAGUUUGCAUACACACACAGACAACUUUUCUGAAGCAAAUGCAGUGUUUCCCCUACCAUUGUUCAGGCCUGGCGGGCCGCCAGGCCAACGAGCGCCCCCGCCAGGCCAACAACAGGCCAAAAAAAAAAAAUAAUAAUAAUAAUAAUGAAAAGAAAAGAAAAAAAAAGUGUCGCGCGUGCGCAGAUUAUGCCCCAUCAUAACGGACAAUCUGACAGCAUUAAGUUAUAUCAUCAUUAGCAUGGCACUGUCACACUAAAUUUGUACCGGCUGCCAAAUACGUAAUCCAUUCCAAACCUGCCCGGCAACAGAUGAUCAGAACCUUUUCGAAUGACGUGAAAGGUUCACGAACAUUCGCGAACCUUCUAUCUAGCGAUCCGUUAUCUGUAUUGUGCUAUUUCGUCCUUGACCUGCUAUAAACACUCAGUUUACUUGCUAAAUUUGAUUAAACAAUGAAAUACAAUACAAAUAUAAAGUAAAAACAAGUGUUAUCUAGCGAUCCGUUUUCUGUAUUAUGUUAUUUCGUCUUUGGCAACAUGAGCGCAAAUGUUUUUUGAAACCCGCUUUAAACACUCAGUUUACUAGCUAAAUUUGAUUAAAAAAUGAAAU